rnacentral:tRNA from 1 species
GGCGUUUCGGGUAUUUCACCUGGUCAGCGGCGUGAGCGAUUUCGGGCUCAUAACCCGAAGGUCGCGGGUGCAAAUCCCGCCCCCGCUA